GCCUGGGUGGCUCAGUUGGUUAAGCGUCUGACUUCAGCUCAGGUCAUGAUCUCGCAGUUCGUGGGUUCGAGCCCCACGUCGGGCU
rnacentral:tRNA from 1 species